GCACUGCUGAGGAGUCCCACGACAGGACGAAACGGCUGUCCAGUGC
rfam:Schistosoma haematobium scaffold349_18, whole genome shotgun sequence.